rnacentral:misc_RNA from 1 species
GAUUUUUUUUAUAUGCGGGCCUUGCCGUUCAGAUAUUCGCGCUGCCAAGGCAACGCUAGUAAACAGCUGUCACUCGUGUAGCGGCCGUUAUCGAUAAUACGGUGCGAUUGGCGCGAUAUGCCGAUUAUUUUAUUGCGUAAUGCCUUAUCGUGCGUAAACAGGAGGACUUGAGCGGACGGUCGCGCAAUGCCGACGUUAUUGCGGCGCGGCGGAGAGGACACUUUCAUGUGAUCAACGGUUUCCGCAGCUGAGCUCCGAAGCGCGAAAUUUCGACUCAUCGAAUCACUGACGCAGGCGACUGACAGCUGUCAUGGCAGAAGCAACGCAGCAGUGCUCGUACGUGUCCUGCAUCAAAAGCUUUGGCAGGCCCAUUUUGCCUCCUCUGAUGACCAAUGAGAAGCGGCUGCUUAUGAGGCAUUUCAAGGCACUCGCCUGUGAGAGGGAGGCAGCGCGUGCAAAGCGCAAGAAGGAAGCGUUUCUCCACACCUUGUGUGAGGCUGACCUCGAGCUGGACCACAGUGAGGACAGCAGCCUUGAUGGGGCGCACACCGCACCACCAUCUCUGGCAGCUGCGGACAGUGGGGCAUGUCUGACAUUGCCUGCUGUGACAAGUCUAGGAAGAGACGUGCGAUGGGCUGUGUCAGACACCCCCGAGACUGGCUCCUCGGCGACCUUGGUGCCUAGCAGCUCAGACUCGGAGGCCAGUGGCACCAGCACGGCCGACUCUGUAGGCAGCAGGCAUGAUGAGGUAGCAGGUCAUCAAAAGGAUGGGACCAGGCUGUCCCCAAAAAAGGAUUUAGUGCCUGGUAACCAAGUUGGACAAACGGAGGUGCCCGUAACAUUGACAGAGGCAACACCAGCAAUGUCUCUAACAGCAACUACACCGAAGCAGUACCUAGAGGCAGCACCUACAACGAUGCCAAUGAUAAUGCCAAUGACACUGCUGGAGGUGACAACGGAGAUGACACUGACAACAAAACAGGUGGCACCGGCAACAACACCGACAACGAUGCCAAUGACAAUGCCACCUAAAACACCAGUGAUGAUGCCAAUGACAGCACAAUUGGUAUCAGCUGCAACAUCAACAACGAUACCAAUGACAAUACUUUCUAAAGAACCAGUGAUGACAGCGACAACACAAAUGACAUCAGCAUCAGCUGUGACAUCAACAACAAUGCCAAUAACAAUGCUGCCUAACGAAUCAGCGAUGACAGCGACAACACAAGUGACAUCAGCAUCAGCUGUGGCAUCAACAACGAUGCCACUGACAACGCUGCUUGAAGAACCAGUGAUGACAGCGACAAUGCAAGUGACAUCAGCUGCGACAUCAACAGUGAUGCCAAUGACAAUGCUGCCUAAAGAAUCGGUGAUGACAGCGACAACACAAAUGACAUCAACAUCAGGUGCAGCUCCAACAACGAUGCCAAUGACAAUGCCACAUAAAACACCAGUGAUGACUGCAGUGGCAACACAAACAUCAGCCACAAAACCAAUGACGAUGCCAAUGAUAAUUUCACCUAAAAUGCCAGUGACAACACAAGGGACUUCAGCUGCAACACUAACAACAAUGGCAGUGACAACACCCCUUUCAUCACCAAUCAGAGAGGAAUGCUUCUCAACCAAAGUGUCGGUGCCCUCACUGUGCCGAUCACGGUCGUUUGUUGUUGAGAGUCCGUCUCUGGCCCAGCUACUGCUGAGAGGACUGAAUCGAGAUGGUCGCAACAGCAUGAAUGGAACCGAUGCCAAGAUUGUUCAGCCAUGCAACUCGCCGACUAAGGAUUCAUUCUAUGUGAACCCUCGCAGCAGUGAGAGAAAUAUGUAUGCUGCAAGGGUGGGAGAACAAACUCGCAAAACAAAAGGCCUCAAUAUUUCAAAAACUUUCAUCAAAGCUGAUCGUAAAGUGAACUGUUCAAGUGUUAUCUCACAGUCGACAGAUGACACUACUGAUGAAAGUAGUCACCGAUUGGGUGGUGAUGUCCAACCUCAGAGGAACUCUGUAUGUGAGCCAGUGGGAGAGCAACACGACCUUGCUUCUUGUCGCAGUGAUCCGGACAUUCAUGCACGUGCAGAUGAAAACACUGAAAACACUAGAGGAUCCCCUCCAAUUGUGAAGCCCACAGCUUUACGAGUGCCUGCAUCACCUGACAGAAUUGAACAAGCACCAACCUUGCUGGGUAAAUGUCACAGUGUCGAUGCAUGCUUCAUUUCUCGUGUCUUCAGUGACACCCUAAAAAGUUUUGCCAGGACAAAUCAUCUUCCCACCCAUGAGACACCCGAUGGCAGUUUCAACAUUCCUUUCGACAACUCGUCCAAAGUGACUGGACGUGUCGUGCCUUGGACUUCCUCUAUACUUGACGUGGUAGCUGCAGCCAAAGAUCCUGCUGCAUCUGUGAAAGACAGUGCUGCUAACAAUACUUUGCACAACAUACCUAAUGUGCCUGGCGAUGAUUCAGCAGAGGAAACUGUAGUAGACGACGUGUUUACUGAUGCCCUCGAUGACAAAUGGGCUGAACUGUCGUCUGCUUCAUUGCCUGGAUUUUUUACCAAAGACAGUGCUGCGACUGCUUAUACCUUACCAAUGUUUGGCAAGACUUUUCUUAGCGACUGGGGCCGAGGUGAUGCUAGUUUUGUGCCAGCAUCACCAAGCUCCAACAAACACUCUAUCUGUUCCUCUAUUAGCAGCGUCCGCUCGUCGUUUGAUGCAGAACGUGAUGUCCUGGCACUUACUCUCAACUCUUCGGGUGAUGUUGAGGAGGAUGAAGAACAGUAUGAAGGUGUGGAUGAACAUCAUGAUGACCAAGCGAAUUCUUCUGCUGAACUGGGUGGAUCUUUAGAAAGUAGCGGAAGCUCAUUGGAUGAGUCAUCUGCAAGUUCUGGCAGUGAACACCUAAAGUCUCUUGAUCAGCGCAUGACGGCAGACGACAUGGUUGCUGCCCACGAGCUGAAGUUGCAGACUUUGUGCCAGACACUCGCACUGGACUAUGCCAGGGUCAACCAGAGUGGCUUUUCAGUUUUGCGGGAAGAAGCUGUUUCCAUAGCAUUGGGAGGGGAGGAGAAAUCUUGUACAGAUGACGACACACCACUGGAAGCACAGACAGCAGGUUCAAUAUUGCCUCCCAGUGCAGAUGGCCACAGUCCUUGUGGCCGCAACUCUUCUGACCACACAAGCCUACCGGCUGACCUGUCCAUGUUGAGGCACUCAGACGUGGACCACUCUCGAGUGGACUCGUCGCUGGCCAGCACAUCCAUUCACCUAGACUUGCUGUCGGAAACACGACAGUCCCUACACCCCAGGUGGCGCCGGUGUUUUGACCGACUCACCGCCAUGGCUAGGGGCCACCUGACUCGGAGGCUGAUGAAGACGCACCGUGUGCAGUCAAUCAUUCAGACCAUCAAGUGGACUGGUGACUCCGCAGGAUGUCGAGCUGCACCAGAGGCUCAUCACACAGCUCACGUCAGCGUGCUACGAGCUCCAUGAUGUGUUCUUCAACAUUCCGGUUGCCGAGAGGAUGCAGUUGAUUGCACAGCUGCGUUCACAGAAGGCUCGUCCACCUGUGCGAAUCACCAAGGGCUGCAUGGAGCAGGCACCAAAGAAGAUCUCCUUGGCCACACAGAAGGUGCUCGAGAGACGGCUCUCCAA